rnacentral:misc_RNA from 1 species
GAUGAAGAACGUAGCGAAAUGCGAUAAGUAAUGUGAAUUGCAGAAUUCAGUGAAUCAUCGAAUCUUUGAACGCACAUUACGCCCUCUGGUAUUCCGGGGGGCAUGCCUGUUCGAGCGUCAUUAUAACCACUCAAGCUCUCGCUUGGUAUUGGGGUUCGCGGUUCCGCGGCCCCUAAAAUCAGUGGCGGUGCCUGUCGGCUCUACGCGUAGUAAUACUCCUCGCGAUUGAGUCCGGUAGGUCUACUUGCCAGCAACCCCCAAUUUUUACAGGUUGACCUCGGAUCAGGUAGGGAUACCCGCUGAACUUAAGCAUAUCAAUAAGCGGAGGA